rnacentral:rRNA from 1 species
GCUGGAGGUAUCAGAAGUGCGAAUGCUGACAUAAGUAACGAUAAAGCGGGUGAAAAGCCCGCUCGCCGGAAGACCAAGGGUUCCUGUCCAACGUUAAUCGGGGCAGGGUGAGUCGACCCCUAAGGCGAGGCCGAAAGGCGUAGUCGAUGGGAAACGGGUUAAUAUUCCCGUACUUGGUGUUACUGCGAAGGGGGGACGGAGAAGGCUAUGUUGGCCGGGCGACGGUUGUCCCGGUUUAAGCGUGUAGGUGUGUGUUCCAGGUAAAUCCGGUUCACUUUAACACUGAGGCGUGAU